GAAGAUUUUGAAAAUUAUGAAACUCCAGAAAAUUUAAUAUUGUCGACAGUAAGCGGAGAAAAUGUGCAAUCCAGAACUGAAGGCGAACUUUUAACUCCGUGGAUUCGUUUUCUGUGGGAAGCUUAUCGUACUGUACUGGAAAUCUUGAGAGUUUUGCCCAAAUUGGAGUUUCAAUACCAAGAAAUGGCCCGUCGUGCUUUUUCCUUUUGCAAAACUUAUAAUCGAAAAUCUGAGUACCGACGGUUGGCCGAGCUUCUUCGGAAUCGAACGACUGGCCAGAAAUUCGCCAAUCCACAAGCGGCUAUCAACUUGACUUCUCCAGAAGCACUUCAUAUCAACAUGGAAACCCGUUUUUUACAGUUGGAUGUCGCUACUUCAUUGGAGCUUUGGCAAGAAGGUUUUCGCUCAUUGGAGGAUAUUAAGACCCUCAUGGCGGCUUCAACUCGUCCUCCUCACGCUUCCUUAUUGGCUCGUUAUUAUGAAAAACUUGCAAUGAUUCUUUGGCAGUCCAACAACUUUUUGUUUCACGCUUACGCACUCCACAAGUUGUUUUGUCUUACUAAAGAACAGAAGAAAAAUCUUUCAAA